UGGGGGAUAUUGCACAAUGGAGGAAACUCUGAUGCAGCAACGCCGCGUGAGGGAUGAAGGUUUUCGGAUUGUAAACCUCUGUCCUCGGGGAAGAAUUCUGACGGUACCCGGGGAGGAAACUCCGGCUAACUACGUGCCAGCAGCCGCGGUAAUACGUAGGGAGUAAGCGUUGUCCGGAUUUAUUGGGUGUAAAGGGUGCGUAGGCGGCUUUGCAAGUCAGGCGUGUAAUUCAGAGGCUUAACCUCUGAACUGCGCUUGAAACUGCUUGGCUUGAGUGAAGUAGAGGCAGAUGGAAUUUCCAGUGUAGCGGUAAAAUGCAUAGAUAUUGGAAGGAACACCGGUGGCGAAGGCGAUCUGCUGGGCUUUAACUGACGCUGAGGCACGAAAGUGUGGGGAGCAAACAGG
rnacentral:rRNA from 1 species